CGGAGGGGGCUAGCGUUGUUCGGAUUUACUGGGCGUAAAGCGCGCGUAGGCGGUUUGGUAAGUUAGAGGUGAAAGCCCGGGGCUCAACUCCGGAAUUGCCUUUAAGACUGCAUCGCUAGAAUUGUGGAGAGGUAAGUGGAAUUCCGAGUGUAGAGGUGAAAUUCGUAGAUAUUCGGAAGAACACCAGUGGCGAAGGCAGCUCACUGGGACGGUACUGACGCUGAGACGCGAAAGCGUGGGGAGCAAACAGG
rnacentral:rRNA from 1 species